UCAGUGCUAAGGAGGUCUUUAGAGCCCUAAGAAUUAUAAUUCCGAGAUCCAUGCAGAAGGUCCAUUUUCCGAUUAAACCAUAGAAGACUUGUCUACAUGGACAUCCAAAUGACAUAUGGAUGAGUGCAAAUUUAAUACGUGGUUUUAGAGUCUUUCAGUGGAAAUGACAGGACUAAGCCAGAAGCCUCAUGGAAAAAAGAAGACUGGGGAAGUUACUGGAGAGAAAGAAGUGGAGAGAAAAUUAGUUGCUUGCAGGCAAACUAAUUGCAGAGACAUGUUGUACAUCUACACUGGCUGCCGAUAAGUUUCCAGGAAAAAUACAAGGUGCUGUUUAUAACCUAUAAAGCCCUAAACAGCUUGGGCCCUGGGUUUUUAAGAGAACGUAUUCUUCGUCAUGAACCCCACCACCCACUGAGAUCAUCUGGAGAGGUCCAUCAGAAGUUGCCACCGGGUCAUCUGGUGGCUACUCGGGGACAGGCCUUCACUGCUGUCCCAAAGCUUUGGAACAUGCUUCCUGCUGAAAUAAGAGCCUCCCCAUCUCUGACAACUUUUUAAAAGUCUUUAAAGGUGCAUCUAUUCACCCAGGCUUUUAAUCAAAUGUAGUUUUACAAGUUUUAACAUUGUUUUGAAAUGUUGUUUUAAAAUUUAAAUUGCUGUAAUGUUUUAACCUCUUCUGUAUCAUUUAUUUUGUUUUAACUAUUGUUUUAAUUUUUCUGUUGUCAUUUGUUUUAACUAAUGCUUUAACUUUUUGUUUUUGUUUGUUUGCUUUGUUGUAAACCACCCAGAGACGUGAGUUGUGGGUGAUAUUUUAAAAUGUUAAUUACAUACAUACAUAUACAUACAUACAUAGAUCUUAGUUAAAUGUUGACAAAAUGCAUUAGUAUGAGAAAUAAAGUAAACAUUUUACAUCAAAA